rnacentral:rRNA from 1 species
AUUGAACGCUGGCGGCAGGCCUAACACAUGCAAGUCGAACGAGUGGCGGACGGGUGAGUAAUGUCUGGGAAACUGCCUGAUGGAGGGGGAUAACUACUGGAAACGGUAGCUAAUACCGCAUACCAUCAGAUGUGCCCAGAUGGUAUUCGCUUGUUGGUGGGGUAACGGCUCACCAAGGCGACGAUCCCUAGCUGGUCUGAGAGGAUGACCAGCCACACGGGAACGGAGAUCAGGUCCAAACUCCGACGGGAGGCAGCAGUGGGGAAUAUUGCACAAUGGGCGCAAGCGUGAGGCAGCCAUGCGGCGUGUAUGAAGAAGGCCUUCGGGUUGUAAAGUACUUUCAGCUGGGAGGCGUUACCCGCAGAAGAAGCACCGGCUAACUCCGUGCCAGCCGCCGCGGUAAUUC